rnacentral:rRNA from 1 species
UACGGGGGGAGCAAGCGUUGUUCGGAUUUACUGGGCGUAAAGGGCGCGUAGGCGGCGGAUCAAGUCGGGGGUGAAAUCCGGCAGCUCAACUGUCGAAGUGCCUUCGAUACUGAUUCGCUCGAGGGAGGUAGGGGUGCGUGGAACUUCCGGUGGAGCGGUGAAAUGCGUAGAUAUCGGAAGGAACGCCGGUGGCGAAAGCGACGUGCUGGACCUCUUCUGACGCUGAGGCGCGAAAGCCAGGGGAGCAAACGGG